rnacentral:rRNA from 1 species
CGAACGCUGGCGGCGUGCUUAACACAUGCAAGUCAAGGGGGCCCAGCAAUGGGCAACCGGCGAACGGGUGCGUAACACGUGAGCAACCUACCGAACUGUGGGGGAUAGCCGGCCUAACGGCCGAGUAAUACCGCAUACGCUUUCAGUGAGGCAUUUCAUUGAAAGGAAACCUACGGGACAGAUCGAGGGGCUCGCGGCCUAUCAGCUAGUUGGCGAGGUAACGGCUCACCAAGGCAACGACGGGUAGCUGGUCUGAGAGGAUGGCCAGCCACAUUGGGACUGAGAUACGGCCCAGACUCCUACGGGAGGCAGCAGUGGGGAAUCUUGCGCAAUGGCCUAACGGCUGACGCAGCGACGCCGCGUGUGGGAUGAAGCUCCUCGGAGUGUAAACCACUGUUGCCCGGGACGAAUAGCUCGAUUAAUCGAGCCUGACGGUACCGGGUGAGGAAGCACCGGCUAACUCCGUGCCAGCAGCCGCGGUAAUACGGGGGGUGCGAGCGUUGUCCGGAAUCACUGGGCGUAAAGGGCGCGUAGGUGGUUUGAUAAGGGUGUGGUGAAAGUCCGGGGCUCAACCCCGGAUCUGCCGUGCCGACUGUCAAACUCGAGGGCUGUAGAGGCAGGCGGAAUUCCGGGUGUAGCGGUGGAAUGCGUAGAGAUCCGGAGGAAGACCGGUGGCGAAGGCGGCCUGCUGGGCAGUUUCUGACACUGAUGCGCGACAGCGUGGGGAGCAAA